UGGGGAAUAUUGGACAAUGGGCGCAAGCCUGAUCCAGCCAUACCGCGUGGGUGAAGAAGGCCCUCGGGUUGUAAAGCCCUUUUGUUGGGAAAGAAAUCCUAUCGGUUAAUAACCGGUAGGGAUGACGGUACCCAAAGAAUAAGCACCGGCUAACUUCGUGCCAGCAGCCGCGGUAAUACGAAGGGUGCAAGCGUUACUCGGAAUUACUGGGCGUAAAGCGUGCGUAGGUGGUUGUUUAAGUCUGCUGUGAAAGCCCUGGGCUCAACCUGGGAAUUGCAGUGGAAACUGGGCGACUAGAGUGUGGUAGAGGGUAGCGGAAUUCCUGGUGUAGCAGUGAAAUGCGUAGAGGACAGGAGGAACAUCCAUGGCGAAGGCAGCUACCUGGACCAACGCUGCCACUGAGGCACGAAAGCGUGGGGAGCAAA
rnacentral:rRNA from 1 species